AAGUAAUCAGCUAGUGGACCAUGUCAGAAGUACAUUCUUAUGGAUUCUAAAGGCAUCGUCGAUCUUCAAAAGGGAUGUAAAGUUCCUCCAAACAUGUUGAUUAAGUGUCCAUUUGCAUAAUUUUUACCUCUAAUUUGGUUGUUAAUUACAUUAACUACUAUGUAGGCAUACAUUUGCCAAAGUUAUGUUUUCAACAAAGAAACACAUCCUGUGCAAUUCUUCAGUUAAUCAUCAUCUGUUUGAAAAAGUACAUGAGUCAAUUAACUCAAGAGUAAAUUGGAAUAUUUAGUGAAUUUGCAUUUUUAAUUGUAAAUAUGAGAGAGAGAGAGAGAGAGAGAGGUGUUUCCAUGUUGUUGUUUUUUGUUUUUUUUGUAAGUAAUGAGCUAUAUUUAAUAAAUUUACAGAUCC
rnacentral:misc_RNA from 1 species